rnacentral:RNase_P_RNA from 1 species
GAAGCAAGCCGCCUUGUCGCUCUUCCCUCCGGGGAAGGGAGGAAAGUCCGGACACCGCAGGGCAACCCGGCGGGUAACACCCGUCCGCCGCGAGGCGAGGACUAGUGGCACAGAAACCAGGUACGGUUCGGCCGUAGUGAAAAGGCUAAACUCCGGGUGGUGCAAUGCCAAGUAUGCCGGCGUUUGAGAUUGGCCCGAUCGAUGCCGGCGGGUAGGCAGCAAGAGGCAAACGGUAACGUUUGUCCCAGAUAAAUGACAAGGCUCGACAGAAUCCGGCUUACAGGCUUGCUUCCGUU